GCGGUGGAUGAUGUGGAUUAAUUCGAUGCAACGCGAAAAACCUUACCUACCCUUGACAUGUCCGGAAUCCCGAAGAGAUUUGGGAGUGCUCGCAAGAGAACCGGAACACAGGUGCUGCAUGGCUGUCGUCAGCUCGUGUCGUGAGAUGUUGGGUUAAGUCCCGCAACGAGCGCAACCCUUGUCAUUAGUUGCCAUCAUUUGGUUGGGCACUUUAAUGAGACUGCCGGUGACAAACCGGAGGAAGGUGGGGAUGACGUCAAGUCCUCACGGCCCUUAUGGGUAGGGCUUCACACGUCAUACGAUGGUCGGUACAGAGGGUUGCCAACCCGCGAGGGGAGCUAAUCCCACAAAGCCGAUCGUAGUCCGGAUCGCAGUCUGCAACUCGACUGCGUGAAGUCGGAAUCGCUAGUAAUCGUGGAUCAGCAUGUCACGGUGAAUACGUUCCCGGGUCUU
rnacentral:rRNA from 1 species